rnacentral:rRNA from 1 species
CUGGCGGCGUGCCUAAUACAUGCAAGUCGAACGGUCUUUCUAUGGAAGCUUGCUUCCACUGAGAAGAUAGUGGCGAACGGGUGAGUAACACGUGGGUAACCUGCCCAUAAGAGGGGGAUAACAUCCGGAAACGGGUGCUAAUACCGCAUAGUUUUCUUGAUCGCAUGAUUGAGAAAGGAAAGACGGCCUUUGUGCUGUCGCUUAUGGAUGGACCCGCGGCGUAUUAGUUAGUUGGUGAGGUAAUGGCUCACCAAGACGAUGAUACGUAGCCGACCUGAGAGGGUGAUCGGCCACAUUGGGACUGAGACACGGCCCAAACUCCUACGGGAGGCAGCAGUAGGGAAUCUUCCGCAAUGGACGAAAGUCUGACGGAGCAACGCCGCGUGAGUGAAAGAAGGUUUUCGGAUCGUAAAACUCUGUUGUCAGAGAGGAACAAGUUGGAGAGUAACUGCUCCAGCCUUGACGGUAUCUGACCAGAAAGCCACGGCUAACUACGUGCCAGCCGCCGC